rnacentral:snoRNA from 13 species
UAAGCAGGGAUUGUGUGUAUCGGCGCUGUGCUAUAAUAAAUGCACUCUGAAUCCGAAAGAGUUCCCUGCUAUAUUGAUUUCUUUGGGAAGAUGGGCAGUUGUGUUUCAUUCUCUUUUGUUGAAACUUUUCAACAAUCAUCUUCCCUACAUCA